GACGGAGGAUGCAAGCGUUAUCCGGAAUCACUGGGCGUAAAGCGUCUGUAGGUGGUUUAAUAAGUCAACUGUUAAAUCUUGAGGCUCAACCUCAAAAUCGCAGUCGAAACUAUUAGGCUAGAGUAUAGUAGGGGUAAAGGGAAUUUCCAGUGGAGCGGUGAAAUGCGUAGAGAUUGGAAAGAACACCGAUGGCGAAGGCACUUUACUGGGCUAUUACUGACACUCAGAGACGAAAGCUAGGGGAGCAAAUGGG
rnacentral:rRNA from 1 species